CUAAUACCGCAUAUUCUGUGAGCAGGAAAGCAGGGGAUCGCAAGACCUUGCGCUGAUUGAGCGGCCGAUAUCAGAUUAGCUAGUUGGUGAGGUAAAGGCUCACCAAGGCGACGAUCUGUAGCGGUCUGAGAGGAUGAUCCGCCACACUGGAACUGAGACACGGUCCAGACUCCUACGGGAGGCAGCAGGUGGGGAAUUUUGGACAAUGGGGGCAACCCUGAUCCAGCCAUGCCGCGUGAGUGAAGAAGGCCUUCGGGUUGUAAAGCUCUUUCGGCCGGGAAGAAAUCGUAUGGGUUAAUACCCUGUGCGGAUGACGGUACCGGCAUAAGAAGCACCGGCUAACUACGUG
rnacentral:rRNA from 1 species